AGUGAACGCUGGCGGUAGGCCUAACACAUGCAAGUCGAACGGCAGCACAGUAAGAGCUUGCUCUUACGGGUGGCGAGUGGCGGACGGGUGAGGAAUACAUCGGAAUCUACUUUUUCGUGGGGGAUAACGUAGGGAAACUUACGCUAAUACCGCAUACGACCUACGGCUGAAAGCAGGGGAUCUUCGGACCUUGCGCGAUUGAAUGAGCCGAUGUCGGAUUAGCUAGUUGGCGGGGUAAAGGCCCACCAAGGCGACGAUCCGUAGCUGGUCUGAGAGGAUGAUCAGCCACACUGGAACUGGGACACGGUCCAAACUCCUAAGGGAGGCAGCAGUGGGGAAUAUUGGACAAUGGGCGCAAGCCUGAUCCAGCCAUACCGCGUGGGUGAAGAAGGCCUUCGGGUUGUAAAGCCCUUUUGUUGGGAAAGAAAAGCAGCAGGUUAAUACCCCGCUGUUCUGACGGUACCCAAAGAAUAAGCACCGGCUAACUUCGUG
rnacentral:rRNA from 1 species